rnacentral:rRNA from 1 species
CCCUUAGAUGUUCUGGGCCGCACGCGUGCUACACUGAGUGGAUCAGCGGGUCAGGUUGCGCGAAAGCGUUUCCUAAUCUUUAAAUCCGCUCGUGAUGGGGAUUGACGGUUGCAAUUUUCUGUCAUGAACGAGGAAUACCUUGUAAGCGCGGGUCAUCAUCCCGCGCUGAAUACGUCCCUGCCCUUUGUACACACCGCCCGUCGCUCCUACCGAUUGAAUGGUUUAGUGAGAUCCUUGGAUCGGCCCUGUCGCGGCUGGCAACGGCCGCGUCGGCGCGUCGAGAAGACGAUCAAACUUGAUCAUUUAGAGGAAGUAAAAGUCGUAACA